rnacentral:tRNA from 1 species
GGAGAGAUAGCUCAGUGGUUAAGAGCACUGACUGCUCUUCCAGAGGUCCUGAGUUCAAUUCCCAGCAACCACA